AUGUGUGUAGAGUUAUCCAUAUGUGACCACUCAACUUCAUUUGAAACAAGCUUUCUUGCACCGCUCACACGACUUCUUCAUCUUCUUUGCAUAACUUUCGUUGCCAUGAACGCCUUCAUCUCCUUUACUGCUUCAAAUGAAAAUUUGGUUACUCUUGAAACAAGCGGGAGGAUAAGGAAGGUACGGUUGCAGAUUUUUUAUUGA